rnacentral:rRNA from 1 species
AUUGAACGCUGGCGGCAGGCCUAACACAUGCAAGUCGAGCGGACGAAGGGAGCUUGCUCGUGGAUGCAGCGGCGGACGGGUGAGUAAUGCCUAGGAAUCUGCCAGGACGCGGGGGAUAACGUCCGGAAACGGGCGCUAAUACCGCAGAGGACCUGAGGGAGACAGUGGGGGAGCUUCGGACCGCAUGCUAUCAGAUGAGCCUAGGUCGGAUUAGCUAGUUGGUGGGGUAAAGGCCUACCAAGGAUACUAUCCGUAACUGGUCUGAGAGGAUGAUCAGACACCUUGUAUCUGAGACACGGUCCAGACUCCUACAGUGGGCCGCAGUCGGGAAUAUUGCGCGAGGGGGGAAAGCCGGAUCCAGCCAUACCGCGUAUGUGAUGAAGCUCCUCUGAUUGUAGAACGCUGAAGGUUGGAAGGAAGUACAAUAAUUUAAUACCUUACUGUAUUGACGUUACCAGCAGAAGAAGCACCGGCUAACUUCGUG